rnacentral:lncRNA from 1 species
AAUCCACAGAAAGCAGCGUUUCUGAAGGAUCAGCUGAACACAAUACAGGGGGAGCACUUCAAGGACCUGAAGCUGUUGCAACUUGAAGUGAUGAAUUUGCGCCAGCAACUGAAAGUUGUUAAGGAGGAAGAAGACAGGGCACAAGAUGAAGUGCAGAGGUUGACUGCUACUCUGGAAAUUGCCACAGAGACAAAGAAGAACGCGGCUGUCAUUGAGGAGGAGCUAAAGACCACAAAGCGUAAAA